GUAAGGAAUAUUGGGCAAUGGAGGCAACUCUGACCCAGCCAUGCCGCGUGAAGGAUUGACGGCCCUCUGGGUUGUAAACUUCUUUUGUACGGGAAUAACCCUCCGAACGUGUUCGGAGCUGAAGGUACCGUAAGAAUAAGGAUCGGCUAACUCCGUGCCAGCAGCCGCGGUAAUACGGAGGAUCCAAGCGUUAUCCGGAUUUACUGGGUUUAAAGGGUGCGUAGGCGGAUUGAUAAGUCAGUGGUGAAAUCCUGCAGCUUAACUGCAGAACUGCCAUUGAUACUGCCAGUCUGGAGUAUGGUUGAGGUAGCUGGAAUGUGUCAUGUAGCGGUGAAAUGCGUAGAUAUUAGGAGGAACACCAGUGGCGAAGGCGGCUUUCUGGACUGUAACUGACACUGAGGCACGAAAGCGUGGGGAGCAAACAGGAUUAGAAACCCGGGUAGUCC
rnacentral:rRNA from 1 species